rnacentral:rRNA from 1 species
GACGAACGCUGGCGGCGUGCCUAAUACAUGCAAGUCGAGCGGAGUUGUUCCUUCGGGAACAGCUUAGCGGCGGACGGGUGAGUAACACGUAGGCAACCUGCCCACAAGCCUGGGAUAACGUCCGGAAACGGAUGCUAAUACCGGAUACGUCUGGAGAGCACAUGCUCUCCAGUGGAAAGACGGUUCUGAUUAAAGUCAGGGCUGCCACUUGUGGAUGGACCUGCGGCGCAUUAGCUAGUUGGUGAGGUAAUGGCUCACCAAGGCGACGAUGCGUAGCCGACCUGAGAGAGUGAUCGGCCACAUUGGGACUGAGACACGGCCCAGACUCCUACGGGGGGCAGCAGUGGGGAAUAUUGCACAAUGGGGGGAAACCCUGAUGCAGCAACGCCGCGUGAGUGAUGACGGUCUUCGGAUUGUAAAGCUCUGUCUUCAGGGACGAUAAUGACGGUACCUGAGGAGGAAGCCACGGC